AUGACAAUAGUAACUAAAAAAUUACAAUGGAAUCAUCUUAUGCAUAUUAUUAUGUCACUUGAUUUUUACACACACAGACUUUCUCAUGGUGGAGAAAUUGACAAACCGAUACUUAAAACAUUAUUCUUUUCUUUUCUUUCUUUCUUUUUAUUUUAUUUUAUUUUUUUUUUUUUUUUUUUUUUUUUUUUUUUUUUUUUUUUUUUUUUUUUUUUUUUUAAAAGGAUUUUUUUUUUUUUUUUUUUUUUUUUUUUUUUUUUUUUUUUUUUUUUUUUUUUUUUUUUUUUUUCUUUUCUUUUUUCUUCCCUUUCCUUCCUUUCUUUUGGUUUAGAGAAGCCCUUUCAAUAUUUCCUUUAACCUGGGUUUUGUGUUGCUGUAUUCUUUAAGUUUUUGUUUGUUGGGAAAAAUUUUUAUUUCCCCUUCUAUUUUAAAUGAUAUUCUUGCUGGAUAAAGUAUUCUAGGUUGCAUAUUUUUUCCUUUGAGCACUUUAAAUAUCUCUUGCCAUUCCCUCCUGGCCUGUAGUGUUUCUGUAGAGAAAUCAGCUGAUAUUCUUAUGGGGGUUCCCUUGUAGGUAACAUUCUGUUUUUCUCUUGCUGCCUUUAGGAUCCUCUCUUUAUCACUAACUUUUGCCAUUUUUAUUAUGAUGUGUCUUGGUGUGGGUCUGUUUGGGUUCAGUUUGUUUGGGGCCCUCUGUGCUUCUUGUAUCUUGAAUCCAGUAUCCUUUAGAUUUGGGAAGUUUCCAGCGAUAAUUUCUUCAAAUAUAUUUUCCAUUCCCUUAUCUUUUUCUACUCCUUCUGGAAUUCCUAUUAUGCGUAGAUUGGCUCGUUUUAUAUUAUCCCAUAGGUCUCUUAUAUUGCUUUCCAGUUUUUUGAUUCGGUUUUCUGUCUGUUGACCAGAUUGAGUGAUUUCCAUUAUUCUAUCUUCCAUAUCACUGAUUCGUUCUUCUGCAUUAUUCAUUCUGGUUUUUACUGCCCCUAGUUCAGUUUGCAUCUCUGCAAAUGAAUGUUCUAGUUUUUCUUGGCUCCUCCUUAUAUUUUCUAGCUCCUUUCUGAGGGUAUCUGCAUUGCUGUUCAUAUCUUCUCUUAAUUCCUUCAGUAUUUUCACUAUUUCUCUUUUGAACUCCAGGUCUGUCAGACUGCAGAGAUCAGUUUCAUUGUUGACUGUUUUAGGUGAGUUCUCCUGUUGGUUUGACUGGGGGUGGUUUCUCAGCUUCUUCAUCUUGCUUGUUGUCUUCUUUCUCCUGAGGGAGUUGUACUCUCCGUUAUCGGUAGUGUUUGCCUUGUCACUGCCGUGGAAUAUUUCCUGAGGGCUGUCGUUGUUGGUCAAUCUUUUUUUGAGGCAGUGUGGCUUUUCUGGA
rnacentral:lncRNA from 1 species